rnacentral:rRNA from 1 species
GCUUACCAUGCAAGUCGAACGAUGAAGCCCUUCGGGGUGGAUUAGUGGCGAACGGGUGAGUAACACGUGGGCAAUCUGCCCUGCACUCUGGGACAAGCCCUGGAAACGGGGUCUAAUACCGGAUACUGAUCGCCUUGGGCAUCCUUGGUGAUCGAAAGCUCCGGCGGUGCAGGAUGAGCCCGCGGCCUAUCAGCUUGUUGGUGAGGUAAUGGCUCACCAAGGCGACGACGGGUAGCCGGCCUGAGAGGGCGACCGGCCACACUGGGACUGAGACACGGCCCAGACUCCUACGGGAGGCAGCAGUGGGGAAUAUUGCACAAUGGGCGAAAGCCUGAUGCAGCGACGCCGCGUGAGGGAUGACGGCCUUCGGGUUGUAAACCUCUUUCAGCAGGGAAGAAGCGAAAGUGACGGUACCUGCAGAAGAAGCGCCGGCUAACUACGUGCCAGCAGCCGCGGUAAUACGUAGGGCGCGAGCGUUGUCCGGAAUUAUUGGGCGUAAAGAGCUCGUAGGCGGCUUGUCGCGUCGGUUGUGAAAGCCCGGGGCUUAACCCCGGGUCUGCAGUCGAUACGGGCAGGCUAGAGUUCGGUAGGGGAGAUCGGAAUUCCUGGUGUAGCGGUGAAAUGCGCAGAUAUCAGGAGGAACACCGGUGGCGAAGGCGGAUCUCUGGGCCGAUACUGACGCUGAGGAGCGAAAGCGUGGGGAGCGAACAGGAUUAGAUACCCUGGUAGUCCACGCCGUAAACGGUGGGCACUAGGUGUGGGCGACAUUCCACGUCGUCCGUGCCGCAGCUAACGCAUUAAGUG